CAUCCCGACUUACCAACCCGAUGCAAACUACGAAUACCGAAGAAUGUUAUCACGGGAGACACACGGCGGGUGCUAACGUCCGUCGUGAAGAGGGAAACAACCCAGACCGCCAGCUAAGGUCCCAAAGUCAUGGUUAAGUGGGAAACGAUGUGGGAAGGCACAGACAGCCAGGAUGUUGGCUUAGAAGCAGCCAUCAUUUAAAGAAAGCGUAAUAGCUCACUGGUCGAGUCGGCCUGCGCGGAAGAUGUAACGGGGCUAAACCAUGCACCGAAGCUGCGGCAGCGACACUAUGUGUUGUUGGGUAGGGGAGCGUUCUGUAAGCCUGCGAAGGUGUGCUGUGAGGCAUGCUGGAGGUAUCAGAAGUGCGAAUGCUGACAUAAGUAACGAUAAAGCGGGUGAAAAGCCCGCUCGCCGGAAGACCAAGGGUUCCUGUCCAACGUUAAUCGGGGCAGGGUGAGUCGACCCCUAAGGCGAGGCCGAAAGGCGUAGUCGAUGGGAAACAGGUUAAUAUUCCUGUACUUGGUGUUACUGCGAAGGGGGGACGGAGAAGGCUAUGUUAGCCGGGCGACGGUUGUCCCGGUUUAAGCAUGUAGGCUGGUUGUCCAGGCAAAUCCGGAUAAUCAAGGCUGAGGUGUGAUGACGAGGCACUACGGUGCUGAAGUAACAAAUGCCCUGCUUCCAGGAAAAGCCUCUAAGCAUCAGGUAACAUCAAAUCGUACCCCAAACCGACACAGGUGGUCAGGUAGAGAAUACCAAGGCGCUUGAGAGAACUCGGGUGAAGGAACUAGGCAAAAUGGUGCCGUAACUUCGGGAGAAGGCACGCUGGUGUGUAGGUGAAGUCCCUGCGGAUGGAGCUGAGACCAGUCGAAGAUACCAGCUGGCUGCAACUGUUUAUUAAAAACACAGCACUGUGCAAACACGAAAGUGGACGUAUACGGUGUGACGCCUGCCCGGUGCCGGAAGGUUAAUUGAUGGGGUUAUCCGUAAGGAGAAGCUCUUGAUCGAAGCCCCGGUAAACGGCGGCCGUAACUAUAACGGUCCUAAGGUAGCGAAAUUCCUUGUCGGGUAAGUUCCGACCUGCACGAAUGGCGUAAUGAUGGCCAGGCUGUCUCCACCCGAGACUCAGUGAAAUUGAACUCGCUGUGAAGAUGCAGUGUACCCGCGGCAAGACGGAAAGACCCCGUGAACCUUUACUAUAGCUUGACACUGAACAUUGAGCCUUGAUGUGUAGGAUAGGUGGGAGGCUUUGAAGCGUGGACGCCAGUCUGCGUGGAGCCAACCUUGAAAUACCACCCUUUAAUGUUUGAUGUUCUAACGUUGGCCCCUGACCGGGGUUGCGGACAGUGUCUGGUGGGUAGUUUGACUGGGGCGGUCUCCUCCCAAAGCGUAACGGAGGAGCACGAAGGUUAGCUAAUCCUGGUCGGACAUCAGGAGGUUAGUGCAAUGGCAUAAGCUAGCUUGACUGCGAGCGUGACGGCGCGAGCAGGUGCGAAAGCAGGUCAUAGUGAUCCGGUGGUUCUGAAUGGAAGGGCCAUCGCUCAACGGAUAAAAGGUACUCCGGGGAUAACAGGCUGAUACCGCCCAAGAGUUCAUAUCGACGGCGGUGUUUGGCACCUCGAUGUCGGCUCAUCACAUCCUGGGGCUGAAGUAGGUCCCAAGGGUAUGGCUGUUCGCCAUUUAAAGUGGUACGCGAGCUGGGUUUAGAACGUCGUGAGACAGUUCGGUCCCUAUCUGCCGUGGGCGCUGGAGAAUUGAGGGGGGCUGCUCCUAGUACGAGAGGACCGGAGUGGACGCAUCACUGGUGUUCGGGUUGUCAUGCCAAUGGCACUGCCCGGUAGCUAAAUGCGGAAGAGAUAAGUGCUGAAAGCAUCUAAGCACGAAACUUGCCCCGAGAUGAGUUCUCCCUGAGACUUUAAGUCUCCUGAAGGAACGUUGAAGACGACGACGUUGAUAGGCCGGGUGUGUAAGCGCAGCGAUGCGUUGAGCUAACCGGUACUAAUGAACCGUGAGGCUUAACCUUACAACGCCGAAG
rnacentral:rRNA from 1 species